rnacentral:rRNA from 1 species
UAUUUCCCGAUUCUUGUAGGAGUUAGCGGUUUGUUUGUUAGUUACUGUUUCAUUAGUAUUAUUAAUGUUCUGCUGGUAGUGAAAUGUUAUUCGUCUUUGGGGGUUUCUGGUUUUUCAAGAAAUGAAUUUAAUUCAUGUAUUUUAUUUAAUUUGUAUUUUUUUAUACCUUUUUUUAUUUUUUGCUAAGAUUGUGGGGGAUAAGCUCUUCAUUUUUUUUAUAACUUUAUUUUUGUUUACUCUUGUGGAUUUUAAGUUGGUUUUCUAUAUUAUUAUGUUAAAAUUUUAUUUGUUUUAUUUUAUAUUUGUUCUAUGUUUAAUUAUUUAUUGAGAUGUUUCUUUUAGUUUUUUUUGGGUUCCAACUAUUGUAGAAUUAGUAAAUUUUUCUUUUAGUUUGUUUAAGGGGUUAAUUUGAUUGUUAUUUUCUUUUGAGGAAUUAGGCAAGUAUUAUGUGUUCGCCUGUUUAACAAAAACAUCGUCUCUCGUUAGUUUUUGAGGUAGGGCCUGCCCGCUGACCUAUUGGUUGAAGGGCCGCGGUAUCUUGACCGUGCAAAGGUAGCAUAAUCAUUAGUUCUUUAAUUGUGAUCUGGUAUGAAUGGCUUGACGAAGUACAACCUGUCUUGAUUGUUUUGGAUUUAUUGUUGAUUUUGGUUUUUGAGUUAAAAUUCUUAGAUGGUUUUAUGGGACGAGAAGACCCUAUAGAGUUUGACAUGUCUGUCUGUUUUUGUUGUUGUUCUUGUUUUUGACUUUUUGGCUUGUUUUGUUGGGGUGAUGGGAAGUUUUUUUAAAACUCUUCUUUUAUUUUGUUUAUAUUUAUUUAUAGUUAUUUGAU